rnacentral:rRNA from 1 species
GGGUCAGUAGGUUGGUCGUGCCACCGGUACGUACUGGUCUCACUGAUUCCUCCUUCCUGAAGAACCGUAAUGCCAUUAAUUUGGUGUUGCGGGGAAACAGGACCGUUACUUUGAAAAAAUUAGAGUGUUUAAAGCAAGCUAACGCUCGAAUACAUUAGCAUGGAAUAAUGAAAUAGGACGAUCGAUCCUAUUUUGUUGGUUUCUAGGAUUGACGUA